GUUGGGAAACAGAUUAUGUAGAUUAUCCCCUUCGAGGAUUAGAAAGCCUGUUGCAACCAAGUAGAGCUCGGUAUACAUGAAAACAGAUACCAGUAAUCUUCCCAUCUUCCCAAAUGCUCGCUCGCCAACAUCAGGGUAAGUUCGGAUAUUUGGAUGGGCAUCCAUACAUCUUCUGAGUAGUAAGCCUGUGUAGAAAGUUGCAGUGGCGAUAACAAGUAGAAGAACCAAGCUCAACCACCCUCCCGAUGAAAGGGCAUAUGGUGUGGAAAGGAUCCCAACUCCUGAUCAUAAAGCAUAGUCAAAGAAUUUGGUGUUCAGUUCCUUAGUCACAAACAGAUCAUAUUUCGGAGAUAAGAGAGUGGCAUCAGAAAAAAGAUAAACCUGAUAAAGCAUUGAGUCCAUUGAAACAGGUCUUGAAGAAAGAGGUAGAGCCCACAUCUUGCUUUCUACCGUUGGACUCAAUGUCCUCCACUUUGUUGUGAUUCUGAUCAUCAUGCAAGAGGGGCAAGGUGAGAGUGAACCCAUCACGCUGUUCAGCCUCCAUGUCGAGAGAGAGAGAGAGGAAGAGACAGAGUCCGAAGAAGACUACUAUGAAGCUUGAAGAGAGGUGAGAGGCUUAUAUAGGCAAAGAUAAAGUGGGUGGUGCAAGUGAGCAAUGAGAAGUGGGAACUCGUCAAUUAAUAGGAAGGGAAGCUUAAAAGCUAUGUUCCAAAGAUAAGAGACUUUUACUCAUCUUGCACGCCUAUCACAUGGUUUUAUUUCUCAAAUCACGUGACGCAUGUGACUGCCAACUAUUAACGUGUUUUUGUAUUGUUGACCUUGUAAGACCUAGGAGGUCAGCCUUCUAAAUCCCCAAGAAUUCCGUCAUCCAGCCUCUCUAAAUUAAAAAAAAAGAAGAGAAAACUCCUACUUUCCUUGAGGAAUCUAAAGUUUAUAAAACAUUUUCGCGUAAAAGUUUGAUAAUUUGGUAAUAGAAACAAUACUUUCUAUUUAUUCUUUCUAGAACUUUAUAUAAGAAUAUAGUGUUUAUUAUUUCUUUCUAGAAAUUUAUAUAAGAUUGUAGUGUGAGUCAUGAAUAUCCUAAAAUAAAAUAAAAUAAUACAAUUUCCUAAAUUAAGAUAAUCUCUCAAAUAUUAUUAAUAUUUUAUAAUGGAAAUAUUGACAGGAAUUCAUUUUAUGUAUCUUUCUUUUGUCCUCAUUUAUUCUUUCCCUUAAUAUUCAUCACACAUUUAUUUUGACUUAGUUUAGAUUAAUUAGUUUCAAUUGAUUUUUAAAAAUCAAAAACUUCUUUUUAAGUUCAAUUUUACCCUCUAUACUUUUCUUUAAAAAAAAAAGAAUUUUAUUUGAAAAUGACUAAAAUAUUACUUUUCGUAGAAACCUUAUUAUGGUCAAAAUACAAGGGAAAUAAAACUACGAGAAAAAGUAAAAGAAAAUAAAAGUUAAGAAAAAUAAAAAAGAAAAAUUUUAAAUAAAUAAUUUUUUUAUGCUACUUCAAAUUCAUUUCACUUGUUUUACCUAUUCUAUAUAAAAAUUAAAUAUUUUUAAAGUAUAUAAAUUUUUUUACUAAUUUUAAGUAUAAUUUCUUUCAUAUUUUUCAUAAUAACACUAUAUAUAUAUAAUUCUUCGACUUUGGUUUCAACUUAUAAUUUUAAGACAAAUAGAAAGUCUUCUCAAGCGAAGACACAUUGGAAUUACGUCCUAUUUGAAAACUAUUUUUUAAAACUGUCAUUUGAUUUAAAACUAUUUUAUAAAAUAAAAGUCUGAUUGAUGAUCUUAAAUGUUUUUAACAUAUUUUUAAUAUUUUUAAAUUAAUUUUAAUGUCUACUAAUUUGUUUUUAAUCAUUUUUUAAGGGAUAAUUGUGUUUUGGACCCUAAGCCAAAAAAAUUAAGAUUAUGAAAGUUGCAUAAUUGAUGGGAAUGAUAUAAAAUGUGAAGAGAACAAUAUACCCUUUAAAACUAUUUUGAGUAUUUUCUAUCAUAAUGUUUGACAAAAAAAAAAUUUAAUUUUUUUUAAUAAUUAUUCUGAAAAUUUAUUAUUUUUAGAAAACUAAUUUAAAAUAUAUAUAUAUAUAUAUAUAUAUAUUCUAAAAAUAUAUCAUUUUAAAAAAUAAUUUUGACAUAUUUUUAGUUAUUUUUUACAUACAUAAUUUAAAAAUAUAUAUAUAUUUUUCAAGAUGAUUAAUUAUUAAAUAAUAAUAAUAAUAAUUUAUUUUCAUUUUUUUGUAAAAGGGUGUAUUUUUUUCCGAAUCACUAAAUUAAAGUAAAAUUUAUUGAGGUUUACAAAAGGAAUAAAAUUUAAAUUAAUAUUUUCCUACUCUUUUUUUUCAUAAUUAAUAAAGGUGAUUUUUUGAAAAAUAAAAAAUUCAUAUCCUUCUUCUCAAUUUCCAUAUUUUCUCUAGAUCUUGAACUUAAAUAGUGAAUUUAUAUGGACCAAAUCUUAAUUUUUGGGCCCAAUUAGUUUCAAAAUACAAUUGUCCCUUUUUAAAAAACAAUCCUCAAAAAAUAAAUAAAAAUAAUUAAAAAAUAUUAAAUUAUUAUUCAAUUUUUUUUUAUUAAACGCAUUUUCUAUUUUUUUUGUUCUCCAAAAAAAAAACAUUAUUUUUUAAAGCAAUAAUCAAAUAGCUUCUAUUUUUACUUAGUUUUCACUUCUCUAGUAAAAUUUAUUCCAUCCUCAAUAUUCAGGCCAGUACAAUUAUUUUUCUUUUGUAUAUAACCCUGCGAAGUAAAAGGUUCUGCCCAGGUGUUUGACUUAAAAAGGAAGGGGGAAUAAUAACGCUGUAUUCAAUACGUCUUCAUCAUACGCAAUAUGGUACCAUCAUUAUAUGUCUGCAUAGAAGCAAUCAUUUUGAAAACUAUCAACCAUGACGAUAACAUGCAGUGCCCACAAGCCUGCCAAUGACCCUCUAAAACUUACAUAUAAGUAAAAGAAAUAAAAAUAAAUCCUCUAUCUAAGUGUACAAGUUCCAAUAGAUGUUUUGAAUUCAACAAAUACAUGGGAGUUUAUACAUGACAUGCCAUUUGUGCCACAUGCUAUAUGUAUUUGAUGGGCAUUGUAGGGACCAGCUACAUUUGACUAGUUUGGUAUAGCCAUGGCCAAGCUGAAUGUGAAUAAUGAUGUUAGUUAUUAGAAUGUGAAUAACAAUGUUGGUUGUUCGUGGACCACGUAGUACAACUCGCUUAUCAUGAAUACAAAAAAUUUGAUUAUUAGAAUGUGAAUAACGAUGUUGGUUGUUCUUGGACCACAUAGUACAACUCCCUUAUCAUGAAUACAAAAAAUUAUCAUUGAAGGUAUCAAAAUUUUAAUUGAGUUCUAUCUCGUCGCCUUUUGUGUAUAACGCGUGCAUGGGUCCUCCCAUCAUAAGUUACACCAAUUUGAAUGACAAAACCUUCAAUUAGACAUUUAAUAUAAAGUCAGCUCAUUGAUACCCACAAAUCAAAAGACAUUUUAAAUUUUUGUAUAAAAACUUAAAUCUAUUGACAAACAGACUACGUGGAUAAACUAAUAACAUAUAUAAAUAGUUAGUCAUGCAAAUAUCACAAACACGCUGAAAUAAAUCAUCAACUCUCGAGUUAUGUUGUCCCCAACAUAAAUACUAGGAAUUUGUAUAUUUUUUUACUAGUGUAAAAAGCAUCAAUGAAUUAAAUGUCAUUGUUUAUUAUUUUUUAUAUAGUGUUAGCCAUUCUCUCAUCUUUUUUUAAUAAUUUUGCACUCAUGAGUCUCUAUCUAUGCAAGUCAUAUUCUCAAUCUUAAUUAAAGUCUCACUCUUCUUUCCAUUGGUGUGCCUAACUUCCCCCUUAUCUUCUCGACUCUUCCUUCAAUUUUGUAGUUUGGAAUGACAAAAUUGUAUGUAUCUUCAUAGUGAAGUUUCAAUACGCAACUACAAGGAUUUAGUUGUCACCUAAAGUAAAUACAUUAUAAAGUAAAUGUAUCCACAAUUUAAUGGUCCUUUUCAAAAUUAUUAUUAUAAAGGAGAGUUUAAUCUUCAAUUCUUUCUUCAAAAACACUCCUAUGAUUCUAUGAAAACAUUUUGAUGAAAAAUCAAUUAUUCUUUAAACAUAAACCAAAAGAUAUUUCCACAGAGUUUUAAAAAUUAAUUAUUUAAAAAAGCAUUUGGUAAAUGUUGUUGUUAAAAUCAUUAGUAUUUUUUUUUUUUUAAUGUAUCACGUUAUAAACAUCUCAUUUUUAUGAGAAAAUACUUUUUAGUGUUAAAAAACACUUUAAUCAUUCAGAAUCAAUCUUAGAAUCUGUAUGGAAUAAUUUUAAGAAGAGUUUUUAGGUCAAAAAGUUUUUUUAUUUUUUAAAUGAGGAGUUUAUCAAAUAAAUAUUUUUAAAAAUAUAAAAAAAUUAUUUAUAAUAUUAAAAAAUCUAUUAUAUAAUUUUUACUGAAAACGUUAAAUUAAUUAAAAAUGUGUUUAACAACAUUUUUUAUGAAAAUAUUUUCGGUAGAAGUGGUUUUUAAAAAAAUGUUUUUCAAAAAAUUGACUAAUUAAGUUUUUAUAAGUAAUUUUUUAUGUUUUAAAAAUGUUUUUAAAAUUUCGUAAAACAUGAAAUUUUAUUUUAAAAAUACUUUUUAAAUUUGAAGUGUUUUUUAAAAACAUUGUCAUGAUUGUCCAUAGAUUUUUAAUUGGUUUUUUUAAUGCGGAAUACUAUAAAUAUCUUUUAAAAUUUUAUAAAAAUUAGAAUCCCUACGUAGUACUAAAGUCCAUGAAAGUGUUUGGGUGGGUAGAAAUCUCCCAUCGAUCGUGUUAGUGCGCUUUAAUAAUGAGCGACACGACAAUUCAUAAAGGAGUACCACAAGUUGAAAAUUUCAAACCCUAUCCACAAAGGACGACUGAUAAAACGUGAGGCUGAGAUUUAAUAAUAAAAUUUAGUAUUAACGACACGCACAUCUUCUGACUCUUGUAUGGGUAAAAUGAAAUAUAAUAAAAUUUAUUUGUAAAAAUUAUACAAUAAUUGAUAUAAAAUAACAACAUUACCGUACAAAAAAAGGAGGGCCAAUAAAAAAAUGUUUUAUUUUUUAAUAUUUUUAUUCAAUGGUUCAGAUUUAAUUUCGAAUAACAAUAUUGAGAUUGAAAUUUCAAUUUAAAAUAGAAGGAUCGAAUAGAGAGGACAAAAUUGGUGAUAAUGAAGUUGGCAUGUGAACAUGUGGUGUAAGUGGUUGAGAUGAGGUGACAACGACGGGAGUGGACAGCAUUUUACUCGAAGUAAUGUUUUUCCCCACAAACUCCCCAACGUCUCUUUCAACCCCGACACUCGAGUUUGUAUCCAAAUUGAAUUUGAUUUCGAUUGAGCAUAUCUGAGUUUUAUGGCCGCAGAGAUGCAAAUGUAAAUUUCCUUACUCGAAUUAUGAUAUAGCCCCCUAUUGAUUGAAUUUAUCACAAUUUAAUGGUCCGUCUAAGUUAUGAUACAAUUUUUUGUUUAUGUUCUAGAAUAAAUUCGAUUGAUGGAAUAUUUUCUAUUUUAAAUCCAAAUAAAUAUUUAUAAUUUUAAAAUAUAUUUACAUGAUUAGAAAAUAUGAGAUCAAUUUUGAUACUAUUUAUAAUAGACUGUAUCUAAUCAUAUAAAUAUUAUCUGUUUUUAAAUCGAACUCUCUCUUCCAUCUAACUUGGAUAGAGUAUAUACACGUAAAAAAUUUAUAAAAGAGUUAUAAACAAAAAGACUUGUUAUAAACAAAAGAAUUACAUCAAUUUAUAACCGUUUUAUAAAUCUUUUAUUUAUAACUCUUUUAUUUCAUUAAUAAAAAAAUGGGUUAUAAUAUGAAAAGAAGAAGACGUGUCACAACAAUUUUCCCACUUAUCACACUCCAAACCAUAUGAAUGUAAGUUGUUUUGAAAAUUUAAACUCUAAGAUUUUGGGAUGUGACAACUACAACUUUUAGUGGUAUUUGAAUAGGGCACGGAAUUAAAUUUUUAACGUUUUGUCGUAUUCAAUCAAAAAACACAAGGAUUGGACCUUGAGAAUCCAUGAAAUUUAUACACUAAUUAUAGUGUGCUAGUUUUUGGGUAGGAAAGGACAUCUUCCUAGUUAUCAGAGAUUAGGGCUCUAUUUCCAUUAGAUUGGCUUAUGAAAAGUCCCAAUUUUUUUUUUUUAAGAUUAAUAUUUUCCUUUGAAGAUCAUGUGCAUGGCAACAAAAUGUUAUUAAAAAUAAGAUUUAAGUAUUAGGCUAUGGCAACAAAAUGUUAUUAAAAAUAAGAUUCAAGUCUUUGUUAAGUAAUAGGCUAUGUCAGAUUCUCGAAAAAUUUAAAGAGAGAAUAUAAAAUAAAUAUAAAGAAAGAGUAUAAGAUAGGAAAUUAAAAGUAAAAUAAAUAAAAAAAUAAAUCGAUAAAUUAUUUUUUAUAUACUGUUUUAAACUUAUUUUAUUUAUUUUAAUCAUCUUAUAUAAAAAUUAAAUAAUUUUAAAAUAUAUAAAUUUUUAAAUAAUUUUAAUCAUAUUUAAUUUUUUUUAAAUAUUUUUCAUAGUAAAAUCAAAUUUGAAAAAAAUUCAUUUUCGACAUCUUUUUCUUUUCUUAAUAAUUUUUGGAAAUUGAAAAAACAUUAAUGAAAUAUAAUUCAAAACAAAAAAAAAAACCUCGCACCAAAUCUAGAAGGACAACAAACUUAAAAUUUCAGGCAUGAUAAUAUCAUUUCAAUAACAAAUUUCUAUUUCUACUUUUUGCACCUAAAAGUAACGUACUGUCCCGAAUCAAACUUUAAUGUGUGCGCCAACCAAAUUAAAGUCCCAACUCCAACUCUGCCUGCCUUGAAAAAAGUGGAGCAAAAUGAAAAUGUGGAUGGAAAAUCAAAGCCUAGCGGAUUGCAUUUUUGUUUUGUUUUUUGGUGUGUGAUCUUGAAAACCCAACCUCAUGCACACAUUUGUACAUUGGAUAUAGCUGCUUAUAUGUUAACAUCAAUGAAUUAUCGAUAGUCAACAAUAAUCAAAGUUGUGGCUUCAAAAAGCAAGUGGGGAUAUUAGGUAAAAAUAAUGGUUUGUCAUAUGCCUUUUGAUGGAUUUCAAUAACUAAGCCAACCAACCAGGAGAUGGAGCUUUUAUAUGGAAUAUAUUUUCUAACUUUACUCACAAAUUUUGAAAUAAUACAACUGUUUUAAUUACACUUCUAUGGAAAUACUUGGACAAAGAUUCAAUUAGAGCAGUGUCAUGCUAUUAUAUUCUAUUUAUAUGAUACUAUAAGGGUUUUUCUACUCAUGGUUUAUAGGCCAAAAAAAAAAAAAAAAAAAGUCAUAGUUUUACAUUGAGCCUAUUUGGGACUGUUUUUUAGGAUAUAUUUUUAUUUUCUAGAAUAAAGAACACAAGAAACACGUUUGACAACUAAAAACUAUUUUUUAUUUUCUAAUCUUAAGAAUAUAAAAUAUGAUGUUUUCAUAUAACAUAUUUUAGUUAUUUUUUGUUAUUUUCACUUGUUUUCUGAUGAUUGUUUUAAGAAAUAAUUAUACAAACAUGUAGAAUGAUUAAAAAUGAAAUACUACAUAUAAAAAUUAUUUUUAAAAAUAUUAAAAAUAGAUUAAAAAUAUUUUAGGUUUUCAAACAUAUUUUUGUUCUAUAAAAAUCAUAAAACAAUUUUCAAAAACUGUUCUCAAAUACAAUUUUUUAGAAUAAUUUUCAAAAACAAUUACCAAACAAACUCUCUAUCAUUGUGUUUGUUAGUAAUUCUAAGAAGUGCUUCUAACCUUUUAGCACAUGAAAAUUUUAUCUUCAAGUAUUAUUAGAAAAGUUAAAAUAAAAAUUACCUAAAAUAAUUGUCAAACAUAUUUUUAAAGUUUAUUUGAUAAUGAUUCUAAAAAACGUUUCUAACAUUUUUAACACUUGAAUGAUAAAAAUUUUCAAGUAUUAAAAAUAUUAAAAGCGCUUCCUAAAAUCACUAUCAAACGGAUUCUUAGUCUUUCUAACACUUGAAAAUUUUUAUCUUGUAAGUAUUAAAAAACUAAAAACACUUUCUAUAAUCACUAAGUACACAUAUUUAGAGUGUGUUUGACAAUAAUUUUAAAAAGUGUUUUUAAUCUUUUUAAUACUUGAAAAUUUUCAUUUUUCAAAGUAUUAAAGAUAUUAGGAACACUUCCAAGAAUCAUUAAUAAAUAUAUUUUUAGAGUGCGUUUGAGAGUGAUUAUAGAAAGCGUUUUUACUAUUUUUAAUACUUAAAUGAUAAAAAUUUUCAAGUAUUAAAAAUAUUAAAAGCGAUUCCUAUAACCAGUGUCGAACGACCUCUCAAUAUUGUAUAAAGAAACAAGAAUUCCACGUUAGCAGCACCUCAAAUUCAUGGAAAACAAAAUCGAUGAUAAUGAACUUGGCAUGUGAACGUGUAGAGAAAUUAAAAUGUGGAGAAAUUGAUGAUAAUGAAGACGGCAUGUGAAAUGUGAAGUGGGCUGAGACUUGAGAUGAGGUGACAACAACAGGAGCGUACAGCAUCUCACUCAAAUUCAUGGACAUUUCCCACGAACUUUCAAAGACUACCAACAAUGGCUCUAGUUGCUCUAGUACACCAACCGACCUCCUCUGUUUCGAAAAUAUUCAAAAAUUAUUUUGUAAUAUAAAAGUUUGUUUACUUUUUAAUUUCUUCGUCCUAUUUAAUCAUUCUUUAUAUCUAUAUAAUUAUUUUUUUAAAUAAUUUUAAAAAACAAUUAAAAUAUAUUAUUUAAAAAUAUUUCAUUUUUUAUUUUUAAGGACAAAAAUCUAUUUUUUUUAUUUUUUAUAUAUUUUUUAUUUUUUCAAUAAAAACUAUUUUUUAAAAUAAUUCUAGAAAAACAUUUAUUGAGAAAAACUUGAUAUACACUUAACCUAAAAAAUAACUUUUAUAUCUAAUACUUUAUUUUUAAUAAUUGUGUUUGUACAAUUAUUUUUAAAAAAAUGAAAAUAACUAAAAAAAAAAAAUUUUUAAACGCCUUAUUUUCUAUUUUUCAAUUGUUUAUCGUGUUUUUUCUGAUUUUUUUUUUUUUUUUACUCUAAAGAAUAGAAAGCUCAUUUUAAAAAUAUUUUCCAAAAGAUUGCCUUAGAUUUUAUGUCCAAAUUCAAUCCAUUCAACACUGAAAAUAGUGCAUAGUUUGGGUUGGAAAGUAAAUCUGUUUUUGAGGCUAUUGUUAAAGUGUCACCAAUUCAUUCCAUUUAAACAAGUCCAAAUUCUUCAACCUUUUCUACCAUGACCACUUACAAAAGACUGAGAGGCUCUGUCUGGUUUGACCUUUUUGAAAAGAUCAAUUUUUUUAUAAGUUUUUGCAUAUAUUUAAGUAAUUUUGUUAAAAGACCUUCACAUAAAAAUAAGGAAAAUAUUAUUUUUGUCCCAAAAUAUAUAGGGUUUCUAAUAGGAAAAGGUCAUCCUACCCUUUCUAUUUAUUUAUUUAUUUAUUUUCUAAUUCAAUUAAAUCUUAAUACAUGAGCCUAAUAGUUGAAUUUGAAUGUCUGGCCUAAUUUAAUUGACCUAUAAACAACUUUGGAUAACUUAAACCCAAACCAAAAUUAAAACCAUUCUAUAUUUAAAUAACCCAAUUAUUUAUUACCUUAAAUUAAAUUACAAAAUAACCUAAGUUCCUAGUUGGGGUGUCACAAGAAUGAAAAUUUAAGAGUUAUCAAUACUUAAUACAAGAUGUACAAUAAGUUUCCAAUUUGAUCUAAGCUCUUAGUCGAUGGGUCAACAAUGUACAUCAAAAUCACUUUCAAUUAACAAUACAUUUUUUAAGAUUAUUAAGCAAUAUAUAUUAAACUCACUCAAGGUUGGACUCUUACCAUCUCACAUCAAGGUAACCUCGAAUCAUGUUCAUUGGUUGAUUCCAAUCGAAUUCUAGGGAUAUAACCCUUGUUUCAAGCAGUUGUCGCACAAUAUUGUGCCUUAGGCGUAUAUGUCUGUUAUUCCCAUUAAAUAUCUUACUCUUAGCCUUAGCAAUUGUAGCUUGGCUAUCACAAUGCAUAGACACAGACGGGGCUGGUCUCGUCCAUAAAGGGAUAUUUGCUAAGAGGUUUCUAAGCCACUCAGCCUUAAAACUUGCAUUUUCUAAGGCAAUAAACUCAGCCUCCAUAUUAGACCGAGUAAUGCAAGUUUGCUUGGCAGACUUCCAAGAAACUGCACUUCCACCAAGAAUGAAAACAUAUCCACUAGUGGAUUUCAUCUCAUCUGAAUCUAAAAUCCAAUUUGCAUCACUAAAUCCUUCAAGGACACUUGGAAAUCCACUAAAGCACAAACCAUGGUUAAUGGUGCCUCUCAAAUACUUAAAGACUCUAUGAACAGUAGUCCAAUGGUCCUAAUUAGGACUUUAGGUGUACCGACUCAAUCUACUUACUGCAUAAGCAAUGUUAGGUCUGGUACAAUUCAUUAAGUACAUUAGGCUCCUUAUGAUUUAAGCAUACUCUAUUUGGGUAACACUAUGUUCUCUAUUUUUCUUCAGUUGUGAGCUGGGAUCAUAAGGAGUUGACACUGGUUUACAAUCAAAGUGUUCAAACUUCCUUAGGAUCUUUUCAACAUAGUGCUCUUGAGAAAGUUUAAGCCCAUUAGGUGUUCUAGUUAUUUUAAUUCCUAGAAUCACAUUUGCCUCUCCUAGGUCUUUCAUAUCAAACUUAAAACCUAGGAAUUUCUUGUAAGGUAUUUUAUUUUGAAUAUGGCAUGCGAAUAGGAUAACCUCCCCCCACAACUUCAAGGGUGCUCCUGAACUUACCAACAUUGCAUCAAAGGUUUUAGGACCUAGUUUUCGUUUUUUUAAGUUCAGGGAGAAGAACUUUAGCUAAACACCCCCACACUUUUAGGUAUGCUAUAUUAGGUGCAUAACCCUUCCACAACUCAUUAGGAGUUUUACCAGUUUUCCAGGUUGGUAAUAGAUGAGAACCAUCUUCUGGUUUUAGGUUAGUCAAAAUGUGUUCCAAGUUCACCACAUCAAUUGCAGAGAAAACCCUUUAGGUUAGUUCCAAAGAUCAGCAUGUCAUCAACAUAAAAAAAGAUGACUACACAUGUGUUAUCCUCAUACUUGCUAUAGAUACACUUAUCAGCAUUAGUAAUGGAAUAUCCAUUAGUUACUAACACAUGAUCAAACUUGUUAUGCCACUGUUUAGAAGCUUGUUUUAACCCAUAUAGCGAUUUAACCAGCUUACACACCUUUUUCUCCUUCCUUGGAAUUACACAACCCUCAAGUUGAUCCAUAUAAAUUUCCUCUUCCAAAUCCCCACUCAAGAAUGCGGUCUUAACAUCCAUUUGGUGUAUCAUCAAAUUAUGAAUGGAAGCUAGAGCAAUCAAUACUCUAAUUGAUGUUAUUCUAGUCACAGGGGAAAAUGUGUCAAAGUAAUCUACAUCCUUCAUUUGUUUAAAGCCUUUGGCAACUAAACGAGUUUUAUACUUCUCUAUGGACCUAUCUUGUUUUAACUUUCUUUUAAAGAUCCACUUCCAACCAAUAGUCAUUGCACUAGGGGGUAAAUCUACUAACUCCCAGGUAUGGUUAUACAUUAUUGAUUCGAUUUCACUGUUAAUGGCCUUCUUCCAUAAUGGUGCAUCAGGAGAAGUUAUAGCUUCUUUGUAGGAUCUAAGGUCCUUAUCUUUUAGGUUUAGGGAGAAGAACUUUAGCUAAACACCCCCACACUUUUAGUUAUGCUAUAUUAGGUGCAUAACCCUUCCAUAACUCAUAAGGAGUUUUACCAGUUUUCCAGGUUGGUAACAGAUGAGAACCAUCUUCUAGUUUUAGGUUAGUCAAAAUGUGUCCCAAGUUCACCACAUCAAUUGCAGAGAAAACUCUUUCCUGUCAUCUCUUAAAGAAUGUCUCAUUGAAGGGAUCAAUUUUAGAGGUGUCAAGACAGGUGUGAACUAGGGAAGGUUCCAUUUGGAUAUAUUUCAAGAUUGUUGGAAUUUAAGGGUAUGGAAACAAAAUACUAGCCCAAAUUACACAAACAAAGAACAUAAUGAAUAAAAAGAAAAACUUGUCAGUUGAGGCGUGACAAACACUGUCCUUAAAAUAGAUCCACCCUCCUCGAAGACGAACUUGGUGCACUAGGGUAUCAGUGGUCUACUUUCAGGAUUCAACAGUCAGAUCUCACCUUGGGUGCACUCUGAAAGCGAGAUGUGUAUAACUCAGGUUUUUGAAUAAAUUCCUCCAAAUAGUUGUAUGAAAAUACUCCCUAAAAAACUCUCUGAAAAAAAAAAUUCUAAAAAAUUGGUAUCUAUGUAUAGAGAAGGGUGACUUGCUUUUAUAGGCCACUAACACAGUCCCAAUGGGAAUCUACUUGUAAUUAGAAGAUGAUACAAAGUGGAAGGUGAUUCUACUUAUAAAAUGAAUGAGACUCCACUAGCACAAUCCCAAAAGGACUCUUCCCAAAAAUAUAACACUAAUAGAAUAAAAUAAAAUAAAAAAUAAUUCUCAAUAGGACACUUCCCAAAAAUAUAAGAUUAAUAGAAUAAAAUAAAAUAAAUUAAAUUAAAUUAAAAUUAAUUUCCAAAAAUAAAAAUAGAAAUUAUUUACACUCUUCCUACAAUAACUUCCAUCUUGGCAGGGUAAGCACAUGAACCCAUAGCAAGCAUUUUGAUUCCAUACUCUGAAGCCAUGGAACUAACUGAUAGCAUAGUCAUUUGCAAACCAGUAUCAGGUGGCUCUAUGAACCCAACAAGAACUCUAGGGCCAGCGAUUGCCAGUGCUGACUACAAGGGGAUUUGGGUGUAUGCGGUUGGACCAGUAUCAGGCACACUACUGGGGACAUGGUCCUUUAAUUUGAUUCGGGUCACAGAGAAGCCAGUGCAAGCAAUAUCUUCUCACUCAUUUUCACUCAAACUAAGCAUAAUGAGGAGCAAUGCUUGGGAGAUUUCCAGAAAAGAUCCUCUGAAUCAUCUAUAAUAAGACUCAAUCUAUAAAUGAUGAUGAAUACUAUAAGCUAAUAAGCCUAUGGCAUUUAGUUUGCCCUUGAUGCCCAUAAGAGCUUGUAUCUGUUGUACGUUUUAUAUCUACAUGCAUAUGAUGUAUUAUAGUAUUGAUUGAAAGAAUUUAGUCAUUAAAAAUUGAAAAUGAAAAGGCAAAAUGACAAAAACUUUCUCUCUCAAAAGCAUUAUUUAAGCGAUCAAUAAGUGGGCAUCAGAACAUAUUAGUACAUCUAGUCAGACAUUCCUGACCUAAUAAAAAAACUGCAACUAAGAAACAUGUCCAUAUAUGUGUUUGUCUCGUAGACAUUAAUUACACAACUCAAUCAAUUGCAAUACAAUAGAUAUCAAAAGGCAUUCUCCAAUAAACAUGUGACCAACAUUUGUGAGGUAAUAUGGCAUCGAUACAGGCAAAAAAGGUUUGACCUAGGAUUGAAUGAUGCAUACUAGACCCUAAGUAGUUUUUUUCACAAACUACAAAAGACCCAGGGUUGAUGGUAAUGCUCUUAGUGCAAUUGUCAGUUUUAUAAAUCCCAACAAGUCGAUCCACCAGCUCAAACAUGUUGUUUCUAAGGCUGCAAUUUGUAAGACACCCAAAAUAAGGAAAAACUUGAAAAAAAUAAUAUGUAGUAAGUUUAGUGAUAAUUCAACAUCCCAUCCAAUCUACCUUAUGAUUAUAAAUUGUGCAUCAUUUGUUCGGUCUUUCACAUAGUGUCCUACAAUUGAAACAUUCUUGAAAUCUGCCACAGCAUAUGAACCAAAUAAGGGAGAAACAUAAUAUAAAAUUUUAGAAAAUAAAUGGCAUUCAAAAAUUAAAGCUCAUCAAUCCAAUUUGUAGUACCUAGAGCAGCAUCAAUCUCAUCCAUAACAUAAAGUGGGAUGGGUUUGUAGUGAUGAAGAGCAAAAACAAGAGCCAACAAGCUGAGGUCUGAAUGCAACAAAAUCAAACAACAUUAUAGGACCUCCCCACAAGUCUCUAGUAUCUUUCCUUAUCGGUUGAUACUUGAUUAGGCUCAACACACAAUUUCAGACCUUCUAUUGGUGUAUCAACAGGUUGACAUCCCGACAUUCUAGUCUCCUGUAAAAAAUCUAAGGCAUACUUUCUUUGAGAUAGAAAAAUUCCUUCAUUUGAUCGAGAAACUUCAAUCCCAAGAAAGUAUUUCAGAGAACCUAGAUCUUUCAUUUCGAAUUCUCUAGACAUAUAAUUCUACAGAGCUUUUCUUUUUUCAGGAUCAUUUCUUGUAACUACCAUGUCGUCCACAUAUACGAUGAGUGUUGUAAUCUUACCAUGUUAUUUUUUUAAGAACAAAGUGUGAUCUGAAUUACUUUGACGAUAGCCAAAAGCUCUCAUUGACUUUGUGAACCUUCAAAACCAUGCUCUCGGGGAUUGCUUCAACCCAUACAAUUACUUCUUCAAUUUGCACACCUUCUGACAUUGCUUUUCUGACACCAUGCAUCAUGGUGGAAGAUCCAUAUAUACUUCUUCAGAUAACUCGCCAUCAGAAAGACAUUUUUCACAUCAAACUAUUGUAAUGGCCAAUUCAAGUUUGCAGUUAAAGACGGUAAUACUCGAACUGUGUUGAUCUUAGCUACAAGUGCAAAUGUCUUUAUGUAGUCAAUUCCAUAAGUUUGAGUGUACCCUUUUGCUACCAGUCUUACUUUAAAUCGUUCAAUACUACCAUCUGCCUUGUACUUCACAGUAUAGAUCCAACGACACCCAACUGACUUCUUUCUUGGUGGACAUUCUACGAGUUCCCAUAUUUCAUUAUUCUACAAUGAUUUCAUUUCUUCAUUCAUGGCUGCUUUCCACCUUGGAUUAGUUGAGGCUUCGUGCACACUGUUAGGAAUAACUACAGUAGAUAAUUGAUUUACAAAUGACUCAUUUGAUUCAGACAAACGAUGGUUAGACAUAUAGUUGCUCAUGGGAUAUUUGACUUUGAUAGACAAUUCAAGUUCAUAUGUGGGUUUAGGAAUACCUCUAUUAUGACGGUGUGGUAACCGUUUCAUGAAUGGAUCAGGUUCCAAAUUAAGAAUACCCUCAGUAGACGACAAUUGGUUUGGUAUUUCAGUGAAGGCAUCUUCGGACCCAAAUUGUUCAGAUGGUGGUGAUGGUUCAAUUGUACUGUCUCUUCCAUCUUCUAUCACUUCUUCAAUUUCUGGGUGGUCAUUACUACUUGAUUCCAAAGUUGUACCACUCAUAUCCAAUUCACCCGCUUCUUGGUUUACUAGUUCAGAUUGUCCAGAUUCAUCCUCCUUAAAGAUAUGAUAAUCAUAAUCGAGAGUCUGAAUUUCCUUAUGGUACCCCCCCUAAAGUUCAGACUCAAAUGAAAAAUACAUCGAAUCUUCAUGAAACACCACAUCCAUUGUAAUAAACAUUCGUCGAGUUGGAGGAUGGUAACAUCGAUUUCCUUUUUGGUGCAAUGUAUAUCCAACAAACACACAUUUCAAUGCACGAUAAGUUAACUUGGUGCGUUGGUGUUUGUGUAGAUGCACAAAUGCCACGCAACCAAAAACACGAGAAGGUAGAUUUGGGACGGUUGGGGCAACCACGACAUUAGUAAGAGCUUGGAGAGGUGUUUGGAAGUCAAUUGAGCUAGAAAGUACUCGAUUGAUCAAGUAUGCGGCAGAUGUGAUUGCUUCUCCCCAAUAAGAUAUCAACAUUUUUGCUGCUAUCAAGGAAGCAUGAACAACCUCUAACAAGUGUUGAUUUUUACAUUCAACGACUCCAUUUUGCUGGGGUGUAUUGGAACAAGUAGUCUAAUGAAUGAUGCUAUGUCCUUCUAAAUACUUCUAAAGAUCAAAACUCUGAUAUUCUCCACCAUUAUCGCUAUGCAAAACCCGAACCUUUGCAUUGUACUGAGUUCCAAUCAUUUUAUGAAAUUUUUGAAACAAUAAGUUCACUUCAUCUUUGGUCUUCAUCAAGUAUAACCAGGUCAUUCUGGUAUAAUCAUCAAUAAAAGUAACAAACCAAUGCGAUCCACUCAAAGUUAGGACUUUGGAUGGGCCCCAAACAUCAGAAUGUAUAACCAUAAAAGGAAGCGGACUUUUAUUCAAAAUUAACGAAAACGAAGCACGAUGGCUUUUAGCCAAUUCACAAAUAUCACAACGGAAACUAGAAACAUCACUCAUUGCAAACAAACUAGGAAACAAUUUUUUAAAAUAACCAAAGGAAGCAUGUCCUAGACGUCGAUGCCACAACCAAAUUUUAGACUUUUUCUUCUCCCCCUUAGACUCAUCUGUCAUCAAGGUUUGUCGUAACUUAUUGGAAUCCUUUGACUGCAAAUCCAAGUAAUAGAGUUUUCCCCACUUAAUACCACAACCAAUCGUCCGUCUUGUUUGAAUGUCCUUAAAAACACAAAAUUCAGGCAAAAAAAUAACAAUACAAGAUAAGGCUGCAAUGAUUUGAGAAACUAACAAAAGAUUGUAAUCGAAAUAUAGAACAACUAAAACAGAAUCCAAAUUCAGAGUAUCAAUAAGAGUUAAGGAUCCUUCCCCAAUGACUGGGGUUGUGUUACCAUUGGUUGUAGAAACAAUUUUUUGUGAGGAAGGUUUAAGAGGUGAGACCUGUCUAGAAUAAAAAAUCAUAUGAUCUGUAGCACCAAAAUCAAUUCUCUGUGUACUAUUAAUAACAGGUGUAGAAGUAUUUAAAACCUUACCACCAUAAUCUGUAGUGGCUACCAAUGUAGAGGCUUUCUCAACAAUAUUAUCCUCUGUUUUUAUUUCAGCAACAGUUGUAGUCAAGGUUUUUUUGGAAUCCUUCUUCCGUUAAUCACGAUUAUGAUCCCACUAGUCUGGAUAUCCCACAAGUUCAAAGCAAUGACUCUUGGUAUGACCAGUCUUAUUGCAAUGAGUACAUUUGAAGGUUGACUUAUCAAUAUUAGGGGUUGUCUUAGGAUGGUUGGUCUUGGAUUGGUCCUGCCAAUUCUGGGUUGAUCGUUGUCGGAUUACCAUAGCUGAGGUGUCAGUAUUGUCAGAUUCUGCUUUCAUACUAGCAUGAUGCACUGCCUCUCGUCGAAUCAGUGCAUAGCAUUUUUCCAAAUCGGGAAUAGGAUCUUUGCAUAGAAUCUCUCCUCAAACUUGCUCAAAGUCACCAUUCAAUCCAGCAAGAAAGAUGUGCACCCGUUGUUGUUCAAUGGAUUUCCAGUAUGCUACAAUGUCAUCAGGGUCUUUCAUGACUACCUUAUCCCGAUGAUCUAAUUAGCAAAAAAUCUUAGUUAACUCUCCAUAAUAUUCAGAAAGAGACCUGCCACUUUGUUUGGCAAUGAAGGCUUUUUUAUUCAGAGUGAAAACUUGUAAUUCAUCACUUCCAUCAUAGAAGGCCUUUGAUAAUGCACUCCAAAUUUCUUGAGUGGUGGGUAAGCGUAAAUAACGCUUCAUAAUUUCUGGACUCAUGGACAUUAACAACCAUCUCUUCACCUUUUGAUUCUCUGCAUACCAUUUUUCAUAUCCAUUUUCGACUCUUUUGGUGGCUUUGUCUUACCUCGAAUGUAGGAAAGUUUUUCCCAUUCGGUAAUAUGCAUUUCCACGAGUUGUGACCAAACGUCAUAGUUUGAUUCAGUCAAAAUAAUUCCUGGAUUAAAAGUACCUUCAGAUUGAAAAACAAUAGUAUUUUUUUCACCUUUUUUUUUUUUUUGAUAAGCAAAUUAAAAUAUAAAUAUGACACACACUUUUCCUCGACGCUUGUUCUUCUUUAACAAAUUUGUAGAUCGAUGAUGACCGAUGUCGGAGCAAGAAAUGGCACUGAUCUUUGGCGUGGUGCAGGUAUACACGAAAAGAGGUUGAUGAUCUUUGUCAACAGUCUCCUAUUAUUUUGUGGAAGUUUGCAAGGGAUUUUGUCUCAAAAGAGGUUUCUAAGGUUGGCUUUGAUACCAACUUCAAUUUGAUGAAUGGUGGUUUUUCAUUCAUACUUUCAUUUGUUCACGUACAAAGUAUAUAUAGAGGGCAAGCUAUACAGCUAUACAAUCAUAUCUGUUAAUUAUGUUGACCACCUAUAAUCAAGCACUAUAAUCAAGCAUAAUCACCUAAGAAUGGGAAAGAAUGAUUACAAGGAUUUGUAUAGCUAAUAUCCUAAUAUCUCAACAUAGCACAAUCAGUGGAUUCUAGAUAUUACCUUUUCACCACCUGAUAAGUUUGCAACAAGUUCAAGUUCCGCAUCACCUCCUAGUGUGAUCAUCUGUAGCAAGUGCAUUAAGGGACAAGCAUUGAACAAUUAUUGCAUUAAAAAAAAGGAAGGACAGAAAGAAAGAAAAGAAAAGAAAAGAAAGAAACAAAGAAAGAAUAAAAAACACAGCACAAGUAAAAGCCAAUUAUGAAAUCCCAACUGCCAGCAGUGUCAUUACUAUAGAAGGAAUUAAAGUAGCAUGACAAAUUAGGCUACUGAGUUUUAGAGGAAGAUGAAUCAGGAAAAGUAAAUGUUUGUGGCGGAUGAAGCUGUGCAUCAUUGUGGUCUAAAAUUUCCUAUGACUAUACCAUUAAAAGUUCACAUAAAACAAGCUAAAAGAAGAAAGAAAGCAAUCCUGAAAAGUUAAUGCCCAGGAAAGAAGAUGCAAUCUUCCAUUGUUUCAAGAUGCUCAGGAUCCUAAUCAAGUACCCCCACACGGUGCAGCAAGACCAGGACCAAAAAAAAAACAUUACAAAAACUAAAUUAGAUAUUCAAUAGGACCAUUUAUACAGAGCACUCUAGUGGAACCAGCCACAAAAGUGAAUGAGGCUACACAACAGUUAUAACCUAAACUUAUUUGUCCAGAAUGUCCGUGCACUAUACGGUUGCAUGUGCAUCCUUGUGUAAGGAGAGGGUGUUUCAAACCACUCAGUUUACAAACCUGAUACAUUUCUUUCAACUUCAAAGAUAUUGUGUGGAAUCCUGCCAUGAACUCGUCCAUCCUAAAAAUAUCCAAUUGAGUAGCAUAAAGAAGUUACAUCAACAGGAACAUGCAAGACAAGUAAUAAAAAAUAUAAACAAGGUAAAAUAGACAAGCCUUCUCUUUUUCCAUUCAUCAUAUUGCUUCUUCACAUCAUCACGCUCUUGAGUGACCGUGUUAAGAUCUUGCAUACCUUUCUCCGGUAUCUAUAGUAAUUAGAGAAGUUGUCAAAUAAAAUAUGCAUAACCACACAAAUUUCAGCUUACAUCAUAUAUGCAAAGCAGAGAAAAUGCAUACUCUGAAAUGGAAUCGAGAUUGGGAUUCAUCUCUUUCAAUUGUGCUUCAAUCAAUGCUACCAUUUCAAGGGCCCUCUUUAGGCCACAAUCCUCGGUAAGAGUCUUGUCUGCCAGUGUCGCUUGAAGCUUUUCAGGGUCCACCAGAUCUUUCUGAAUUCUGUAACCAAAAAAAAAAAAAUAGUUGACAUUUUCAGUCAUAAACAUAACAGAUUUCUAGAGGUCACAUAGACCAAGGCAUACUGUUCCAUAUGCUUCACAAGAGCAACUUGCAAUUCGUCAAGCUUUCUCUUGUAACCCUUUCCCUUCAUUUCCAACUCCUUGUAGAGUUUCUUCAUGUCUUGUAAUUUGUAGUCAGCAUCAACCUGGAAUAUCACCAAAGAAUUGCUAAAAUGUUUUAAACAGUAGUUGACCAAAACCAAGUAAAGGAAAAUAUAGAGAUGCAUUCAUUGGCACCAGACCUCAGAUGCCCUCAACUCAUCCACGAUUUUCUUCAACUUUUCGUAGUCAGAUUUUGCUUUAUCCAAUACAUCUUUAUGCUGAUCAAUUAGCUAUAGAAAAAAAGAAAGAAAAAAAAAAUAUUCACCAGUUAUAAAGCAACUCACUCAUGUAACUCAUCAUAAACGAUGCCAAACAAAUAAAAACAAACCUCCUGUGUUUUGUUAUAGUUGUCUUGAACAGUAAAUGCCUUCUGUUCUAUAUCUUUAUGGGAUAAAUGCAACUUCUCCUUCUCGUCAACCACUCGGUCUUUCUCCUUCUUUGACUCUUCUAUCCCCUUUUUCAACUUCUUCACCAUUUUUUGACCUGUCUCUAUUUGAACCUUGUGGCGAUUGAUCUCUGUAUUGCUUUUAUCAAUAUCCCGACAAGAAGGAAGCACAUAUCAAAAGAAGUAUCAUUUACAGGAUUUGGCAAUUUCUGAUUGAUUGAUAUACUUACAAAUUGAAUUUUGUUGACUUUUGACUUUUGCAAUUUCAAUCUUCACCACCUGCAUUUUCAAUUUUACUCUGAAGCUCCAAAGCCUUGAAAACACAGAAUUAGAGAAAGGUCAAGCAAACACCAUCAACAAAUCAAAUGCAAAAUUCUGCACAUUGCCCAUGUAUUCAGUUCUAUGAAGAAUGAACAUCUACAUAAUGUCUUGGAGUGGAUACCAUAACAUAAGAACAAGUCAGAAACACAGCUCAAUUGUUUUUGUAGUGUUGUGUUCUGAACUGAUUGUGUUACAAGAGUAAUCAAAUGUAAUCCUUUGACAUUUAAACAUUUCGACUUCACUCAAUGUGCCCAUGUCAAGAUGACAUGACAAGGUUAUGAGUGUGGGAUCAUUUAGUCCUAUUUUGCUUCAGACAUUAAUUAUAGAAAUUUUUAAAAAAAGAAAGGACAAAAGAAAGAAGAAAGAGAUUUCUCUUAACACCUAGGAUGCAUUAUUUUUGCUUCUAAUUGACUUCUAUCUUAUCUUUUCCUUGCAUUAUGUUGUAUCCAAAUAUCACUCAAGAUCCCUUUUUAGCCAAGCCUCUACAUCCUAGGCACAUCUAGACCCCACAAGUGUACCAAUGUAACAUAGAUAUAUAAUUCAGUUACCAGCUCACCUUAUCCUUCAACUGCUUAGACCCUUCUAUGAGUCUUUCGAUCUCUUUUUCUUCUGCAGAUAUAGUUUUAUUUAACUCCUCCAGCCUAUUUAGCUCAUCUUUCCUUGGCUUUGAUGCAGCUUUCAGGGAAUCAAGCUGUUUUUCAAGAUAACUAUGCUGCGACUUUAAACUGUCUAUCUGUUUCAGAAGAAAAUUUUUAGUUAAUAUUUAAUAAAAAUGCCCUCAAAAUACAGAUGAAUGGACACAGAAUCUAUUCUCAAGUGUUACCUCUUUAAGGAUUUUGGUCAAUUCCAUUUCCAAACGAGCAACUGCUUUUUCCGACCCCUGGUAAAAAAAAAACUUUAAUGUAUUAAAAAAUAAAAUGAAAAAAUUAAAUUAAACAACUUUUUAUUAAUUAUAUAUAGAUGGAACGAGAUGUGGUGGGGCGGAGUGGAACAAGACAAUACUCAACUUGCCCUAAACUCAAUGGAUUAAUCAUUUUUCCUAACCUGUCUUAUUAGGGCUAGGAUAGGUAUUAUAAAAAACCGGUUUAUUAACAUUCCUAUCCAUUCCUUGAAAGAUAAAUUAAGGUUAAUGAAUUGGAAGUAAUUGAAAAUUUGUAUUUUAAAUGUGUGUUUUUAAGAAUGAAUAUUAUUAUUAUUUUUUUUAAAAUCUCACCAAAUUAAAAAAAAAAAAAAAAAGUAAUCUUCACAAUAUUGUAAGAGAUUAAUUCCCUUGGAUAACUUUUAGAAGAAGUAAAAGUAAAACUAAUUAAAAUCAUAAGAAAUAGAAGCCAAAAUACUUAUUAGAUGUACCUUUUUUUUAAAAGAAAAAAAAAAGAUAAUGUUUGAAAAAUAAAAUCAAUAAUAAUUUUGGUAUGUUAAGCAUUGCAAGUUAUAUUUGCAACAAUUAUGCUAAGAGGAAAUGAUGGCUCAAAGAGUAUCCUAGUGAAUGUAUUUGAUCAAAACCUGUGUUAGUCUUGUGUGCUUCAAAUUUAGUAUUGACUUAAAAAAAUGAGCUCGAAAUUGUGUUUGGCUUAGGAAUUAUGUUAGCUUUGAGAUUUGGUAUAAACUUAAUAGGUAUAUGGCUUGAAAUUUAGGAAAUAAGCUCAAGAUUUUAUUAGCUCAAUAUUUGUGUUAGCCCUCAAUUACUUUGAUGCAACUCUAAUUAUAUAAAAAUUUUCAGCAUGACCUCAAUGAUAGUAAAUUAAUUAUUAGAUGACAUGUUUAAUGUGUUAACCAUAAUAAGUGGUAUCAAAUCCAUGCUACGGGGUGCAGCUUCCCAAGUGUCUCUUGUGUCAUAGGAUCAAAUAGUCAGGACAAUCAAUUUAGGUGUGCCCAUCAUUGCAAUUAAUGUAGACAUAAAUUCAGCUUGAGAUUAUAUUGGCUUGGGAUUGAAUGAGAUUUAGCUCAUUACCUCACGGUUAUAUUCAUGUGACUUGGAAUUAUAUUAACUCAUAAUUGUAUUAGUGUGGACAUGCAAUUAUACUAACUCAUAAUUGUUUUCGUGUGACUCAAAUUUGUGUUAGCCAUGAGAUUUGAUUUUGACAUUGGAAAGCAAGCUCGAGAUCAUUUUACUAAUCACAAUAUUCAAAACUAAUUUUGAUAAUCUAGUAGUUAAAUAAACUCAUGCGAUCGCUCUUGUACCAUUGGGAGUUUGAUACUAAACUUUGUGUUAGACGUUAUUACAAACAUUUUAUGAUGAAUAGAAAGGGAUACACACGCGUGCCAUGAACAAACUUUUAUUUCCACACUUAACCACAUUGGGAGUUCGAUUACAAAAUUUUUGUCAAUAUAGAAAGGAAGACACGCUUAAUCACAACUGUCCUAUUAUUUCCACUAUGGAUGUGUAGGUACCCAUGAUACCAGCUGAAGUACCCAUCAACAUAACCCCAAUCAUAAUCACUAGUUCAAUUCCAAAUUUGUGGUAAAUGCCUGAAAUCUUCAAGUAGCAUAAGCACGGCAACAAGAUUGAACCCGUGACAGUCGAAAAUGCUACCACCAUGGACAUGAGAGACCCAAAAAAUGGGACUGUCAGAGCUACAAUGAUAGUACUGAACACCAAAGCGGUUCUUAUUAGAAGGCUAAAUGAUCUUCUGUUGCAGUAGUUUGGAAAGCAGUUUUCUGUAGCAUUCACAAUUGGUGCAACCAUCAAUGCAUAUUUGGAUAUGGGAUUGACUAGAGUAGUGUAUAUGGCCACUCUUGAGCUAAGUUUCUCAAUUGGAAGGUUUAAAGUUAUUUGUGAUUGCACCUCUGAACCAAACAUUAAGUACCCCAAAACUGCCAUUGCUGCAUAAGCAAUGGUGCAGAAGAUAAAGCAUACAAGCAAGACUGCAAUGAGAAAAUACAAUAUUGAAGAUCAGUUACAUCAUCUCAAGUAUGAAUGUACGUGUGUGUGUCUAUAUAUAUAUAUAUAUAUAUAGAGAGAGAGAGAGAGAGAGUAACAUGUAAUGUUCCACUUACAGUAGAAAACUGGUUUUUCUUUCUCAUAGAAGUGUAUAAAGUAGGAAAGACUGGAUGGGCACAAUAGCAGAAAGCGUAUAAACUGAAGGCAGUAGGGAUUCCUUUCCAAUUCAGAGUUGUCCCUUUCCCAUGAAAUCCAACUCCAUCAAAUACUCCAGUCCAUAAAAUUGAGCCAAGGAUGAUUAUACAAGCAAAAACACCGCUUGCUGAGAUAUAAGAAAGCAUGUUUAAAUUGUAGAAACAGACCGAUGGCAGAAUCACAAGGCCAGAAAUCAGUAUGAAGCUUUGUCUACCAUCAAUUACUUGCCCAAAAAUUUCAAAUCCCACCAUGGGGAAUAAAUUAUGCAGAUUAUCCCCUUCUAGUAUUAGAAAACCAGUUGCAACCAAGUAAAGCUCCAAAUACAUGAAGAUUGAUACCAUUAAUCUUCCUUUCUUCCCAAAUGCUUGCUCACCUAUAUCUGGGUAAGUUCGGAUAUUUAGAUCAACAUCCAUACAUCUUUGAAGUAGCAAACCUGUAUAGAAAGUUGCAAGGGUGAUAACAAACAGAAGCAUCAAGCUCAACCACCCUCCUGAUGCAAGUGCAUAUGGAACCGAAAGGAUCCCAAUCCCUACAAAGAUAGUUAACACGAAAAAUGUUAGUUUUUUUUUUUUUUUUCAGUUUGUUAGAAAUAUAGAAUAAUUGUAUUCUAUUCUGUGAAUAAAAGAGUAUACAUCAGUGCCUUUAUAUAGGAGGCAUAUAUGUGUAGUACAAGGGUGCAGUACAAAGGUGUAGUACAAGUGUAGUACAAAGGUGUAGUACAAGUGUAUAGUACAAGUACUAUACAAGUAACCUAACUGGGCCCCUGGGCCUAGAGCCCACAAUACAAUAUACUUUAACAGCCCCCCUCAACUUCAAGGUGGAUGUGAGACCAACUUGAGGUUGUCAACUAAAUCACGAGUGCGUCUCUUAGGAAGAGACUUGGUGAAGAUAUCUGCAAGUUGAUCUUUGGAGGAGACGGAGAAAAGCUUAAGAGCACCAUGGAGAAGAUGAUAACGGAUAAAAUGACAAUCAAUCUCGAUGUGUUUAGUCCGUUCAUGAAAGACAUCAUUGUGAGCAAUAUGAAUAGCACUCUGGUUGUCACAAUAAAGAGGAGUAGCAGAGGAGGUGGAUANNNNNNNNNNNNNNNNNNNNNNNNNNNNNNNNNNNNNNNNNNNNNNNNNNNNNNNNNNNNNNNNNNNNNNNNNNNNNNNNNNNNNNNNNNNNNNNNNNNNCCAAAAGAUAACAUUACGAGAAACGCGAAGACGAUGAGAAACAGGAUCAUAACACCUAUACCCCUUUUGAGUUUCGCCAUAACCAAGAAAACAACAGAGUCUAGAUCGAGGCUCAAGUUUGUUGUGCUCAUGAGGCUGAAGAAGAACAAAGCAAGCGGAUCCAAAGGAGCGAAGGUGAUGAUAGUUAGGGGGUGACCCAAAGAGACGCUCAUAUGGAGUCUGAUUAUGGAUGACAGUACUUGGAAUGCGGUUAAUUGCAUGAACAGCAUGAAGACUGGCUUCACCCCAAAAUGGGGCAGGAAUUUUGGCAGAAAGAAGUAAAGCACGAACAGUGUCAAGAAUAUGACGAAGUUUUCUUUCGGCUCGACCAUUUUGCUGAGAGGUACCUGGACAGGUUAGAUGAUGGAUAGUGCCAUAGGAAUGUAACAGAGUUUGAAAUGCAUGUUGAGUAUAUUCAAGAGCAUUAUCAGAUCGAAAGGUUUUGAUACGUUUGGAGAAUUGAGUUUCAACCAUUUUUGCAAAGUUGCUAUAUAUUAAUAAAAUUUCAGAACGAGAUUUCAUAGGAAAAAUCCAACUAUAACGAGAGUAAUUAUCAAUAAAAACAACAAAAUAUCGAGAUCCACCAAUACUAGCAACAGGAGAAGGUCCCCAAACAUCAGAAUGAAUUAACUCAAAAAUACUUUUAGAAAUGGAGUCACUGUUAUUGAAAGGCAAAGCUGGUUGUUUUCCUAACUGACAUGAAGUGCAAUCAAAAUUGUCUUUAGACACAGAACCCAACAGACCUCUAGACACUAACUGUUGUACCCGAGAAGAUGGUGCAUGACCAAGACGAGAAUGCCAAAGCGCAAGAGAAGGUAAGGAAGAAACUGCAGCUGUUGCAGCAGCAACAGAAACAGGAGCAACAGGUGGAAGAUGAAGAUUGUUCACGGGAAACAUACGCCCAACUCUAGGACCGGUCCCAAGCUCCUGCCCCGUCCUCGGAUCCUGUACAAUACACCCAGAAUAGUCAAAAAUAAGGCGAUAACCGAGUUCAGCUAAUUGUCCCACAGAGCACAAAUUAUAGGAUAGGUCAGGUACGUGAAAGACUCCAGGAACAGAAAGGGUAGAGGUUGAAACAAAACCUAGACUAUUUCCAUGCAUGGUGGAACCAUCGGCUAUAUGAAUAUUUAGAGGAUGUGGUGCAGGGUCAAGGUUGGUGAACAGGGAUGAGUGAGGUGUCAUGUGAUUGCAGCAGGCAGAAUCAAAGAGCCAAGUUUGAGACUUACCAGGUAGAACAGAUAAGGCAGUGGAAAGAGAUGCAUUACCAACCAUACGAACAGCCUGAGCUAUGAUCUCCUGUAGUUCAGUGGAAGAGAGGUUGAUAGUAGAUCCAGAAGACUGGGACGUGGAAACCGUUGGCGGAGUAGGUGCAGUAUUAGCAACAGCAGCAGUAGAUUUGUUACGACGGUAACAAGUCUCAAUGGUGUGGCCAGGACGCUUGCAAUAGUUGCAGAACUUCUUGUUGGUUUGCUUGCGACGAUUGCUAGAGCCAGAAAAAUCACCUAAUUGCUGAGGUUGCUCUAUGAGUGGAGUAGAUGGAGUAAUAGCCAAAAUAUUGAGCUUAUUCUGGGCUUGAAGGGUUGCAAGACGAGCUUCUUCUCUAACCAACUCAUUCACAGCAGUAUCAAGAGAGGGAGCAGGACUGCGAUUUAACAGCUGACCACGAAUGGGCUCAAAGUCCUUGUGAAGUGACAUCAAGAAUUCAUAGAGGCGAAAUUCAUCUCUAAUGGUAGCAUAUUGCUGAGCAUCUGUGGAGCAUCCCCAAGUUGGAUCAGAAAGGUCAAUUUGGUCCCAAAUGAAGCGAAGCUGAUCAUAAUAGUCAUUGAUGGAUUGCCCCGGUUCUUGCCUGAGUUGAUGCAAUUCAACCACUAACUGAUAUUUCAUGGAUCCAUGAGUAGUGGAGUACCUUUUGGUCAACAUAUCCCAUGCAGAUUUUGCAUCGUCAAAGCUACCCAAUAGGUUGGAAAUAGAGGGAAUGGAAGUGUUCCGGAUCCAUGUGAGGAUCAUGUGGUUAUGACUAUCCCAUUCAAUCAUGCGACUAAGAAAGACAGCAUCUUCUUCACUUGCUCCUUUGACAGGAAUAGUCAUUGCACCAGUACAAUAAUGCCAGAGCAUGCGACUCUUAAGAAAACUGCGCGUAGCUUGAGACCAGGAUAAGUAAUUUUUAGUCCCCUCCAAUACAGUAUGGAUGGGGCGAGGAAGAAAAACAUCCUUCUUAUCCAUUUAGGGAUGCAAUAUGCAAAACCGACUGCAGAAAUGAAAUCUAUACGAAAAACUAGGUAAGGAGAACCUGGCUGGGGAAAAAGUCAAUUGGACGGUCAACGGUCAAAGUCAACGGUCAACGCUGGUCAACGGUCAACGGUCAAUGGUCAACGGUCAACGACUGGAGAUGACGUCAGCAGAUCAGUGGAUGCUGACGCAGCUAGGGCUGACGUGGCAGCGCGUGGAGGCCUGACGAGCUAGUGCUGAUGUGGCAGCGCGUGGGGGCGCGUGGGGGCGCGUGAAGGCACGUGGAGGCGCGUGGAGGCGUUGCAGAAUCUUUGAGGGGCGCGUGCGGUCUCCGAUGGCGGCGAGAUAUCCACGAAUGUGUAGAUCGGCGCUGGACGAUCUCAGUGGUACCUUCAAAAGUGAAAUCGGAGCAAUAUUCGCAGCGAUGAUGCAAAGGGGCAGUGGUCUGUGCAGUGUGAGACUUCUUAAUGACUGCGGUUGCAGGUCCGGAACCCAGGGAUGACGACUGGAUGACGUCGGAGGUUCAACGGCAAGAGGCUACAGCGGCAGUUGUGAUGGCGGAAGCGCUUAGUGAAAAAGGAAGUCACACUAAUGAAGACAAGACUGCUAAGAAGAAAAAAAAAAGAGGUCAGAGCAGUGGCUCUGAUACCAUGUUAGAAAUAUAGAAUAAUUGUAUUCUAUUCUGUGAAUAAAAGAGUAUACAUCAGUGCCUUUAUAUAGGAGGCAUAUAUGUGUAGUACAAGGGUGCAGUACAAAGGUGUAGUACAAGUGUAGUACAAAGGUGUAGUACAAGUGUAUAGUACAAGUACUAUACAAGUAACCUAACUGGGCCCCUGGGCCUAGAGCCCACAAUACAAUAUACUUUAACACAGUUUAUCAUUUACAAAGUAGUUACAGAAUCAGAAAAACAACCUAAUAAAGCAUUGAGGCCAUUAAAACAGGUCUUGAAGAAAGAGGUAGAGCCCAAGUCUAGCUUGCAGCCAGUGGAGGAGUACUCCAUGUCCUCCACGUUUUGACUCUCAUCAUGCAAAAGGGGGAAGGCGAGAGAAAACCCAUCAAGCUGCUCCGGCGCCAUGUCUCAUAAACUAAGAAAGAAAGGAAGGGAAAGGAUUAUGAAGAUUAUGAAAUUGAUUAGGGUUACAUAGUUUUGAGAAAUGAAGCUUGGAAAUAAUAUAGGCAACUGGGUGGGGACUGUGGAGCUUGAGGGGCGAAACUUUACAACUAUUGCACACAAAUCUCAUGGUGUUUAUGUAUUCUCACCUCUCAACCAACUUGAUUCACGAGAGCGAGGGUUUAAAUCAAAGAGCUUAAUGGUGUGUUAAACUUUUAAGUUAAAAUAAGUUUUCUAAAAAUGCUUUGGAGAGAAUCAUUUAUCAAAUAUUUUAAAAAUAUAUAUAUUACAUGUGAUUUUUAAAUUUUUAAUUUUUUUUUAAAUCUUGUUAAAUAUUUUAUUUUACUUGAAAAGAUUUUUUAUGCUAAAAAUAUUUUUAAAAUGAUCAUCAAAUAGACUCUAAAUAUAGAAUGACUAAAUACAUAAAAAGUGUUUUUAGUAACGAUACUUUAUAGCAUUUUUAUGAUUUUAUUGAUACCAUUUUUACAAGAAACCCUUUUAAUACAUUGACAUUUGGAUGCAAAUAAAAAAAAGAUAUAGAAUGCUUUUAUAAUGAUUUUGCUAAUAUACAUAAUAUAAAGUAAAUAAAGUGAUUUUUAAAGAAAAUUAAACAAUUACCUUUUAAGUGAUUUUCUAGAUUUUUAAAAAUAAUUUUAAAAACUUUAUAAAGAUAAUUAAUUUUUAUAAGAAAAAUGUCACAAAUUAAGCUUUUAAUUCUCUAAAUGGACUCCAAACAUGCAUUUCAUAUUGCUUUUAAAGUGGCAUAUGACAAGCCUAGCGUGACCGUCCAAAACUUGGAAUUAAUUUUUUUAUAAAUAUUUUAAAUAUACAUUAUGCAAUGAAAUGCUAAUUAUGAUGUAUUCACAUGACUCUCAUCAAUAGAUAAGGUCCUUAUUCUAACACACAUUUUUUACCUAAAUUCUAGAAAUAAAAUAUUAAAGAUAGUAUAGCAUCACUCAUGAAUUAUGACUUAAGUUAUAAAAUGAUAACAUAAAAUAUCUUUGACAUGAUGGGGUAUAUCCCACGUGAAUCAUACCAUUAAUUAUCUUAAUUGAUCACAUCCAUUUUGUGACCUUGUAUAUGUCUUUUUCUUACCUAGCUUGAGCACCCUGCACAUUAAGUCAUUGUCUUUAUAAAAGAAAAAGUUUGUUGUUAAGUUUAAAGUAGUAAUAUCACAUCUUUUCAAAAUGUUGAGAAAACUAUUAAAAAGUAAGGAGAUGUUACUUCACGGGUGUGAAAAUAGAUAUAGGCACCUAUAAGUCUCAAUAAAUAAUAACUACCAAGUAAAUUUAUAUAUCUAUUUUUUCAUAAUUAAUGAAUUUUAAUUUUAGGAUUUUUGACUUUAUAGUUUUUACAUAGAUUUUUGGAAUAUUUUGUAGAUAGUUUUCCAUGUAAAUCGCAUUUCCCUUUGUACAAUUAAAUGUUUUUUAUUUUUAUUAAUUAAUUAUAUUCUAAUAAAAAAACAUAUAAAAACUAUAAUUGAUAUAUUUUUUAGGCUACACUUAAAAAAACUAAUUAUCAUCCCCUCUAAAUAGUUUCAUCGUAUAAGAUUUGAAGCUCUAAUUUCACUUUAUGUCUCAUUUCUUAAUUCAUUUUUACUAUCAUUUCUUUAUGCUUUAAUUUAAUUGUAUUUUAAAAAUUUUUAUUUAGUGAUUCAUAUUGGAUCGUACAAAUCAAUAAUUUAAGUUAAAAGUUACUACUUUUUUUGUCUUAACAUUAUUUUAUUUUAAUUGGUUACAUGUGUAAGCCAAGAAGCAGAAUAUAAUAAUGAGGGAAACACACUACAUAUAAAGCUAAGUAACCAAAGAUUAUCUCAACUAAUUUUAUCCUUUAGAUAAUCCAUGAGGGGUUUAUAAUAAUUUUUUCUAGAAUAUGAAACCAUAAAAAUUUGUGAGAGAGAAAUUUGCAAAAAAAUUAUUAAACUUAAUUUUUUUUCUUUCAUUUUUUAUCUUUAAUUUUUCUUUUUUUCCCUUGUUUAUCAUCAAAUUUAUUAAAAUCAUUUUAUAUAAUAAAAUUGGCGCAUAAACAUAUGGUAGAGGGUGGAGAUGAGGUGACAACAUUAGGAGCUUAUAGUAUAUACUCAAAAUAAUUAAUGGGCAUUCCCACGAAGGCCAUGAAUUUUCAUAUUUCAAUAAAGGUUUGUUUAAGGUGAUUCUUAUAAUGAAGUCCAAUCUCAAGCUAACUCAACUUAAGAGUAUACCUAAAAGAGAGUAUUAACUAGUUUAGUCAAUUUUUAUUGAUUAUUAUAUUAAUGAAUUUUUAAAAAAAAAAAUUAAGAUGUGAUAAGAUAAAUUUAGAACACAUAAUUAUUAGAGAAUAAGAAAAGAGAAAGUAAACAAUAAUUUAACAUAGUAAUUCAAUGCAAACCCCUUGUUUCCGUGACUACAAGCUCCAAUCAAAUGCUUAAAGUGCUCCUCUAUAUACUCAAUCGAGGAUCCUUCAACCGGCGAUGUAUCCUUCAACUUUACAUUUAGUUUGAGGAAUCAAUAGAGUUUUACAAAGCUCCACAAAUAAAGUUCACUUACUUAAAAACUCUCUCACAUAGAACGGUAGAAUUAAAUGACUAUCAAUAUAUCACAUACAUAAGUAUAGGUAAUGAUAGUGUAAGUUUAAGGAAAAAAAACAACUAUUAAGAAUAAAUUAUGUAACUAUUUCUUCAUAUAUAUUAAGAAAAAUUUAGUUCUACACAUAAAUCACUUGUAUAUUUAUGUGAUUAGUUAUUGUGUGCAUUUAUUAAUUGCUUACAUCAUAUUAAAAAACUUGAAAAAAAAAAAAUUUAAAUCAAUUUUUAUGUAUAUAUUUAAGAACUACCUAUUCACUAUUUCUUUGGAUAGUCUCAUUGUAUAACAUCUUAAACUCUUAUAAGUAAAUUAAGAUAAUAGGACAAGCACAUAUGCAUUAUUCAAUAGGAAAUUGUUUGACAUUUUAGGUCAAACACAAUUGCAUCAAAUCUAAGUUUUAAUAAGAUCUAAUUCUCUUUUAUUGGUGAUAAAACUAUCCUUAUUAAGAGUUUUAAUAAAAAUGUCUACUAAUUGAUAAUUUGUGCUAACAAAUCCAAGUGUAAUAUCAUGUUUUUGUGCAUGGUCCCUAAGAAAGUAAUGUUUAAUUUCAAUGAGUUUAGCCUUCACAUGUUGAACCAAAAUUAUAGAAACAUUCAUAGCACUAAUGUUUUCACAUUUAAUAGGCACAUAGUUAUAUAGGAAACUAAAGUCAUGCAAGGUUUGUUUCAUCUAUUAAAUGAAAGGACUAGUAUACAACACGGACAAAAACGUAAUAUAUUGUACUUCUAUAGUAGAUAAUGUAAUGAAAUUUUGUUUUUGGCUACACUAAGAUGCUAGUGAGUACCUAUAAAAUGACAAGUAUUACUUUUGUUUUUUCGAUUAAUUUUACAAUUGGAAAAAUCUACAUCCAAAUAUGAAUUAAAUUAAAAUUUGUGCACCUAGGAUACCAUAAGCCUAGAUUAAUUACUUUUUAAAAUAUCUAACUAAGUAUUCUUGUAAUAGCAUUAAGAAGAGAUUUCUUAGAAUAUAAUUGAAAUCUAACAUCCUAAGAUGCCUACUUGUAGUAAGGUAACUAAAGUAAUGUUCAUAUCAUACUUGGAUACAGUGUAGGGUAAAUUCAUUUUUGUAAAGCUUUAUGGAUGAAUUUAUUGGAGUAGUCAUCACUUUUAUAUCUUCCAAAUUGAAUCAUUGGAAACAAACAUGGUGUAAUGUUAUAUUGGGUUCUAAGGGAAGAAAAAUGAGAUGUUAAGAAAUUUAUUUUUUUCUUUUCUUUUUUAUUUAUUUUUUGGUUACCAUGGAAAAAAAAGUAAAAAGAUAAAGAAAAAAGCUUCUUAGAUUUUCUUCCAUUAUUUUAAGAAAAGGUGGGGCAAGUGUAUUCAUCUGCAAUUUAGUUUUAUUUUUCUAAAUUUUCUAUAGAUAACAAAAGAAGAUAAGAGAAAUUUUAUAAAUUUUUAUCUUUUGUCUUUCCUUAUCAUUUUUCUUUCCCUUAAACAUCCCGAGUUCGAAACAUAAAAGAGUUUUUUUUUAACUCUACUGUAUUGCAUGUGAUUAUUAAAAGGCAUAUGAUCAAUAUAGACCAAUAUAGGGAGGCAAACUAUUUUUUGAUUAAUAAAUCCAUUGGAUUACAAAAAUUUUAUUGUCAAUACAAACUAAUAUACACUCAUAACUGGCCUAUUAUUUCUACUAUAGAUGUGUAGGUACCCAUGAUGCCAGCUGAAAUACCCAUUAACACAACCCCAAUUAUAAUCACUAGUUCGACUCCAAAUUUGUGGUAAAUGCCUGAAAUCUUCAAAUAGCAUAAGCAUGGCAACAAGAUUGAAGCUGGGACACUUAAUAAAGCUCCCACCAGUGACAUGAGAGACCCAAAAAAUGGCACUGUCAGAGCUACAAUGAUGGUGCUGAAUACCAAGGUGCUUCUUAUUAUAAGGCUAAAUGGUCUUUUCUUGUAGUAGUAUGGGAGCCAAUUUUCAGUAGCAUUCACAAUUGGUGUAACCAUCAAUGCAUAUUUGGAUAUGGGAUUGACCAGAGUAGUAUAUAUGGCGAUCCUUGAGCUAAGCUUCUCAAUUGGAAGGUUCAAGGUUAUUUGUGAUUGAACAUUUGAACCAAACAUCAGGUACCCUAAAAUUGCCAUUGCUGCAUAAGUGAUGGUGCAGAAGAUGAAGCAUACAAGGAGGACCUGCAAUGAGAAAUGUAGUAUUCAAGGUUAGUAACCACAAACCAAACUCAGUUGAAGUUUAUAAAAUUCACCCUAAUUAAGAGUGCCUUUGGCAGUAUUUCUAAAAACAUUUCAUAAAAACACAUUUUAAAAUUAUUUUCAAAGUUACUCUAAAAAAAAAAAAAUGGAUAAAUAGAUAAGAUUUGAUAGAAUUCAAAAUUUGUUUUUGAAUUCAAUGGAUUAAAAUAGAAUCGAGAUAAUUCUCCAUGGUUUGAAAUCCUUAUCUUUUUCCAACAAUCAAGUUCCAUCUACACAUAGGAUUCUAGUUUCUUUGAAAAAGGAAACUGCCAACACUUGCUACAGAUGCUUUAUGUUCCACAGAUAUUUAUCAGAAUUAUAAUUUGAUUUUUGUCCUAUAUAUGUGUUCAAGCGAAAAGACCAGCGUCGCAUCACUGAAAAAUUGGACCUGUAAAAAAUAAUUGAAGAUCUCAAACUUACAUUAGAAAAUUGAUGCUUCUUCCUCAUAGAAGUGUACAAGGUGGGGAAGACCGGAUGGGCACAAUAACAGAAGGCAUAUAAGCUAACAGCAGUGGGGAUUCCUUGCCAAUUUAGACUUGUUCCCUUCUCAUCAAAUCCAACUCCAUCAAAGGCCCCGGUCCAUAGAAUUGAGCCAAGAAUGAUGAUACAAGCUAAAACACCGCUGGCUGAUAUAUAAGAAAGAAUACUGAGGUUGUUCACCCAGACAGAAGGCAAAAUAACAAGGCCCACAAUGAUUAUGAAGCUUUGUCUCCCAUCAAUCAUUAAUCCCCAAAUCUCAAGCCCCAUGUUGGGAAACAGAUUAUGUAGAUUAUCCCCUUCGAGGAUUAGAAAGCCUGUUGCAACCAAGUAGAGCUCGGUAUACAUGAAAACAGAUACCAGUAAUCUUCCCUUCUUCCCAAAUGCUCGCUCGCCAACAUCAGGGUAAGUUCGGAUAUUCGGAUGGGCAUCCAUACAUCUUCUGAGUAGCAAGCCUGUGUAGAAAGUUGCAGUGGCGAUAACAAGUAGAAGAACCAAGCUCAACCACCCUCCCGAUGAAAGGGCAUAUGGGAUGGAAAGGAUCCCAACUCCUG
rnacentral:lncRNA from 1 species